rnacentral:rRNA from 1 species
GGCGGACGGGUGAGUAAUGCCUAGGAAUCUGCCUGGUAGUGGGGGAUAACGUUCGGAAACGGACGCUAAUACCGCAUACGUCCUACGGGAGAAAGCAGGGGACCUUCGGGCCUUGCGCUAUCAGAUGAGCCUAGGUCGGAUUAGCUAGUUGGUGAGGUAAUGGCUCACCAAGGCGACGAUCCGUAACUGGUCUGAGAGGAUGAUCAGUCACACUGGAACUGAGACACGGUCCAGACUCCUACGGGAGGCAGCAGUGGGGAAUAUUGGACAAUGGGCGAAAGCCUGAUCCAGCCAUGCCGCGUGUGUGAAGAAGGUCUUCGGAUUGUAAAGCACUUUAAGUUGGGAGGAAGGGCAGUUGCCUAAUACGUAACUGUUUUGACGUUACCGACAGAAUAAGCACCGGCUAACUCUGUGCCAGCAGCCGCGGUAAUACAGAGGGUGCAAGCGUUAAUCGGAAUUACUGGGCGUAAAGCGCGCGUAGGUGGUUUGUUAAGUUGGAUGUGAAAUCCCCGGGCUCAACCUGGGAACUGCAUUCAAAACUGACUGACUAGAGUAUGGUAGAGGGUGGUGGAAUUUCCUGUGUAGCG